GACGUAGGAGGCGAGCGUUGUCCGGAUUCAUUGGGCGUAAAGAGCACGCAGGCGGUUUGGCAAGUCGGAUGUGAAAACCCGAAGCUCAACUUCGGGCCUGCAUCCGAAACUGCCCGACUAGAGGUAGGUUAGGGGAGAUCGGAAUUCCUGGUGUAGCGGUGAAAUGCGCAGAUAUCAGGAGGAACACCGGUGGCGAAGGCGGAUCUCUGGGCCUUACCUGACGCUCAGGUGCGAAAGCUAGGGGAGCGAACAGG
rnacentral:rRNA from 1 species